rnacentral:pre_miRNA from 15 species
CUGUGGAAUUUGGUUUUGUUUGGGUUUGUUCUAGGUAUGGUCCCAGGGAUCCCAGAUCAAACCAGGCCCCUGGGCCUAUCCUAGAACCAACCUUAACUCGUGCAUCAAUCCUGGAA